CUGAAAUUCGCCUUCAUGAAGCCGGAAUUGCUAGUAAUGGCAGGUCAGCAUACUGCCGUGAAUACGUUCCCGGGCCUUGUACACACCGCCCGUCACACCAUGAGAGUUGGGAAUACCCGAAGCCUGUGAGCUAACUUUUAGAGGCAGCAGUCGAAGGUAGAAUCAAUGAUUGGGGUGAAGUCGUAACAAGGUAAC
rnacentral:rRNA from 1 species